ACCUACGGGGGGCAGCAGUAGGGAAUUUUCGUCAAUGGGCGCAAGCCUGAACGAGCAAUGCCGCGUGAACGAGGAAGGUCUUCGGAUCGUAAAGUUCUGUUGAAGGGGAAAAAGAGCGGAGAGAGGAAAUGGUCUCCGAUUGAUAUUACCCUUCGAGGAAGUCACGGCUAACUACGUGCCAGCAGCCGCGGUAAUACGUAGGUGGCGAGUGUUAUCCGGAAUGAUUGGGCGUAAAGGGUGCGUAGGCGGCCUGCUAAGUCUGGAGUGAAAGGUACCGGCUCAACCGGUACAGGCUCUGGAAACUG
rnacentral:rRNA from 1 species